rnacentral:rRNA from 1 species
GACGAACGCUGGCGGCGUGCUUAACACAUGCAAGUCGAACGGAAAGGCCCUGCUUGUGUGGGGUGCUCGAGGGGCGAACGGGUGAGUAACAUGGGAGUAACCUGCCCUUGACCGGGGGAUAACUGCAGGAAACUGGUGCUAAUACCGGAUAGGUGCUCCUGCUGCAGGGGGGGGGUUGGAAAGUUUGGGCGGUUGGGGGUGUACGUGGGGCUUAUCAGCUGGUGGGUGGGGUAGUGGCUUAGGAAGGCUUCGGCGGGUAGCCGGCAUGGGAGGGUGGACGCCCACCUUGGUACUGCGAUACGGCCCAGACUCCUACGGGGGACAGCGGUGGGGAAUCUUGCACAAUGGGCGGGCGCCUGAUGCAGCAGCGCCGCGUGCGUGAUGCCGGCCUUCGGGUUGUAAACCGCUUUCGCCUGUGACGAAGCGUUAGUGACGGUACUGGGUAAAGAAGCACCGGCUAACUACGUG